UGCUGUCAAGAUUUUCCUUUGUACGUAUCUGAUCUGUUUGUGCCAGAUUUGGCUCUGUGCCUUCUCAAAUGAGAGACGCUAUGAUGAGGACUAGCUGGUUGCACGCUCAGUACAGUAAUGGAGACGGUAUGAGAAGCCGGGGUGGGACUGGCUCCUGCUCCGCUGCCGCGCGGCGGCUGAUGAGGAAUACCUGGGGAAGUGGUUAGCAGAGGUGUAUCUUCUUCGGGAGCGCAGUGAAACGGGCAGGGAAAUGCAUCGAUACGAGUAUGUACGUGGUACAGUGUGUAGUGGGGAGGCCAUAAGAGAAAUCAAAGAGUCUGGAAAAUACACUGUUUUCUUUCACAACAAAGCCCUCACAGUAAAGAAUAAAAGUUAUGGCUUUCAUGCGUUGAAGGUUUUCUUCAGCAAAUAGCAGCGAGAAACCAACUUUGACUCCUCUCUCCUCCUCCUGCCACCACUAACAUUUGAGAUUUCCAGAUUAGAUUUGGCAUAAGGGAAGAGAGAGGGUAAAAUCAAAGGUCCUAGAGUCCUGAUGAGUCCUGAUACGGCUUAGCGGUAUGUUCAGGGAAACGCUGGGUCUGGUUCUUCUGCAACUGGUUUUCCAGCGAAAGGAAUUGCCAGGCUCUUCAGCUCAGUGACCCCCGCGUAGGGCAGAAGGGUGUGAGUAACAGGAGCUCCUCCAUCCUGCAUAGAUGUGUGGGCAUAUAAGCCUACAAAUUUUUACUCUCUCUCAUAAAAGUUUGCUUGAACCUACGACUACAUAUUUUGAGAGUGAUUUCAGACGAAUUUCUAACAGUUCCCUCUCCAGGAGGAAUGGCAGCGGCCAAGACCCUGCAGGAUAGCGCUGGCUGAGUUUUCCCAAGGGCUGCCCGUGUCAUGGGGAGCGCUUGGGCUGAAUGGCGGAGUAAAGGGGCUGUGCUGGGAGAAAGUCAAACCAGGGAUUUUUCAGCGGGAUUUCAGGAGCAAGUGGUUGCCUCGCAGCUGGACCUCUCUUCCCGGUCACUAGGAUUACCAAAGUCAACCGGCUGGUGCCAAACGUGCAGAUGCCCCCACGGAAGCCAGGAGACCCUCUGCCUACGUCUGUCCCCAGUUUGCCUUUUGCAGCUCUCGCCAGCAGAUCCCAGCAGCGUGGGCACCUGGGAAGUCUCCGCUGCGGAGGGUCUCAUGCGGAGGGGUUGUCCUGCUGGAUCCGGCCGGCGCUUCCCUGAGUCCAUUGCCCUUGCCGCUGGCAGCACGCUUCAUAGGGAAUAAUGCCACAGCGCCACCUGAGCAGCUGCUCCUGGGAAGAGCUUCCUCCAUCAGUCAGAAAAUAAAGAUUGAUUUGAACACUGCAGCAUAGGGGAUUGUAUUCCUUGCGAAGCUCUUCUUUAAAUUAAUAUUUACUGUUAAACCCCUGGAUCUCUUUUAAUGUAAGCAUCCAGCCUGUGUCCCACUAGCUCUUGUGACGAGGAGCUCCCCAAAAGGAUUGUGUGGCUUUCUUGUUCUAAAUCUCCCGUGAGAAAAAAUAAGUUACUGGACACCCUGAAAACACCGGCACCUUUCACCUGCAACUCGGUCUCUCCUCUCAGACUUUAGCAGGGCCAGGAUUUAGCCAGCACUGGCUGCCCCAGUGCUGAGACGAUGAAGAGGAGAAAUUAAAAGCAAGACGUUUAUAAGCAGAGAGUGAUGGUCUCUUCAGACCAGCUCUGCACGAGCUGCAGUUCCUAUGAUGAAGCAGUUCCUGGGAAGAAACCUGUUUCCCCUUGUUUGUUUUGCUAAGGAACGAUGAAUCUCUCCUCACCUUCUGUUUCUGUUCUGAUAUGGAGAUUUUCUCCUUAACCACAGACCUGAGCAGAGCAAAACUGCCAGCUAUCCAGGGCUGCCAUCACUGGUUUGGGUAGGUGCCUCUUCCUGAUCCUCAGGAAAGGAAAAGAUGCUCAUCCUCCCGCAUAAGGCAGGGCUUGGUUU